UGGGGAAUAUUGGACAAUGGGCGCAAGCCUGAUCCAGCAAUACCGCGUGUGUGAAGAAGGUCUUCGGAUUGUAAAGCACUUUAAGUUGGGAGGAAGGGCAGUAAAUUAAUACUUUGCUGUUUUGACGUUACCGACAGAAUAAGCACCGGCUAACUCUGUGCCAGCAGCCGCGGUAAUACAGAGGGUGCAAGCGUUAAUCGGAAUUACUGGGCGUAAAGCGCGCGUAGGUGGUUCGUUAAGUUGGAUGUGAAAUCCCCGGGCUCAACCUGGGAACUGCAUUCAAAACUGACGAGCUAGAGUAUGGUAGAGGGUGGUGGAAUUUCCUGUGUAGCGGUGAAAUGCGUAGAUAUAGGAAGGAACACCAGUGGCGAAGGCGACCACCUGGACUGAUACUGACACUGAGGUGCGAAAGCGUGGGGAGCAAACAGGAUUAGAUACCCCUGUAGUCCCUGAGCGGGCUGGCAAGGCGCAU
rnacentral:rRNA from 1 species